rnacentral:rRNA from 1 species
UGAGUGCGAGCUGCUACGGCAGCGAAGUUGGUGACGUCAAGCUUCCAAGAAAAGCCCUAUACCCGUUAAGGCAUGAUUGCCUGUACCCGAAACCGACACAGGUGGGGUGGUAGAGAAUACCGAGGGGCGCGAGGUAACUCUCUCUAAGGAACUCGGCAAAAUGACCCCGUAACUUCGGGAGGAGGGGUGCCACCGCAAGGUGGUCGCAGUGAAUAGGCCCAGGCGACUGUUUACCAAAAACACAGGUCUCCGCUAAGUCGCAAGACGAUGUAUGGGGGCUGACGCCUGCCCAGUGCCGGAAGGUUAAGGAAGUUGGUCAGCGAAAGCGAAGCUAGCGACUGAAGCCCCGGCGAACGGCGGCCGUAACAAUAACGGUCCUAAGGUAGCGAAAUUCCUUGUCGGGUAAGUUCCGACCCGCACGAAAGGCGUAACGAUCUGGGCGCUGUCUCGGAGAGAGGCUCGGCGAAAUAGAAUUGUCUGUGAAGAUGCGGACUACGUGCACCUGGACAGAAAGACCCUAUGAAGCUUUACUGUAGCUUGGUAUUGUGUCCGGGCUCUGAAUGCGCAGGAUAGGUGGGAGGCUUUGAUCCAUUGCUUGCGGGUGAUGGUGAGCCAACGGUGAGAUACCACUCUUUCAGAGCUAGGAUUCUAACGGUCACCCGUCAUCCGGGGACCGGACAGUAUCUGGUGGGCAGUUUGACUGGGGCGGUCGCCACCUAAAAGGUAACGGAGGCGCGCAAAGGUCUGCUCAGGCUGGUUGGAAAUCAGCCGACGAGUGCAAAAGCAGAAGCAGGCUUGACUGUGAGACCUACAAGUCGAACAGGGGGGAAACCCGGCUUUAGUGAUCCGACGGUUCUGAGUGGAAGGGCCGUCGCUCAACGGAUAAAAGUUACUCUAAGGAUAACAGGCUGAUCUCCCCCAAGAGUUCACAUCGACGGGGAGGUUUGGCACCUCGAUGUCGGCUCAUCGCAACCUGGGGCUGAAGUCGGUCCCAAGGGUUGGGCUGUUCGCCCAUUAAAGCGGUACGCGAGCUGGGUUCAGAACGUCGUGAGACAGUUCGGUCCAUAUCCGGUGCAUGCGCAGGAAUAUUGAGAGGAUUUCUCCCUAGUACGAGAGGACCGGGAGGAACGCACCUCUGGUGUACCAGUUAUCGUGCCAACGGUAAACGCUGGGUAGCCAUGUGCGGAGUGGAUAACCGCUGAAAGCAUCUAAGUGGGAAGCCCACCUCAAGAUGAGUAUUCCCAUGGCGUUAGCCAGUAAGGUCACGGGCAGAACACCCGUUGAUAGGCUCUACGUGGAAGCGCAGUAAUGUGUGAAGCGGAGGAGUACUAAUAGACCGAGGGCUUGAC